GCCUGGGUAGCUCAAUCGGUAGAGCGUGUGACUCUUACACCAAGGGAUUAUCUCAAGGUCGCGGGUUCGAGCCCCGCCUCGGGCU